GAAGUUAUAGGUUAAAUGUGUAAACCACAGGCCUUCAAAGCCUGAAAUGAGAGCGUCUGACUUUGU
rnacentral:tRNA from 1 species